rnacentral:rRNA from 1 species
AUCGCUCUUUGUAAAUAUAAAAUAAGGAGUCGUACCUGCCCGGUGAAAAAUUUAACGGCCGCAGUACCCUGACUGUGCAAAGGUAGCAUAAUCAUUUGCCUUUUAAUUGAAGGCUGGAAUGAAUGGUUUGACGAAAUUCUUCUGUCUCUAUCUUAUUAAAUAGAAUUUAAUUUUUAGGUGAAGAAGCCUGAAUGAAGUCAAAAGACGAAAAGACCCUGUCGAACUUUAGAGUAACUAUAAAAUUAUAUGCUUUUUAGAAUAAAUGUUUUUUAGAAUUUCUCUUUUGUUGGGGUGACAGAAGAACAGAUAAAGCUUCUUUUAGUUGAGGAAACUUAUAUGUUGAAAAGAUCCAUAAAAAUUUAUGAUAGUAAGAUAAGUUACCGCAGGGAUAACAGCGUUAUUUUUCUGGAGAGUUCAAAUUGAAGGAAAAGAUUGCGACCUCGAUGUUGGAUUGGAAUACCUAAUAGGCGGAGAAGCUUGUUGUUGGGGGUCUGUUCGACCUUUAAAUUUCCACAUG